GAUGAACGCUGGCGGCGUGCCUAAUACAUGCAAGUCGAGCGAACAGACGAGGAGCUUGCUCCUCUGACGUUAGCGGCGGACGGGUGAGUAACACGUGGAUAACCUACCUAUAAGACUGGGAUAACUUCGGGAAACCGGAGCUAAUACCGGAUAAUAUAUUGAACCGCAUGGUUCAAUAGUGAAAGACGGUUUUGCUGUCACUUAUAGAUGGAUCCGCGCCGCAUUAGCUAGUUGGUAAGGUAACGGCUUACCAAGGCAACGAUGCGUAGCCGACCUGAGAGGGUGAUCGGCCACACUGGAACUGAGACACGGUCCAGACUCCUACGGGAGGCAGCAGUAGGGAAUCUUCCGCAAUGGGCGAAAGCUUGACGGAGCAACGCCGCGUGAGUGAUGAAGGUCUUCGGAUCGUAAAACUCUGUUAUUAGGGAAGAACAAAUGUGUAAGUAACUAAGCACGUCUUGACGGUACCUAAUCAGAAAGCCACGGCUAACUACGUG
rnacentral:rRNA from 1 species